rnacentral:tRNA from 1 species
GCUGAGGUAGUCUAGCGGUAAGGCGCAAGCCUGGAGAGCUUGUGGGGCAUCCCGCCCCUCGGGGGUUCAAUUCCCCUCCUCAGCG